ensembl:lncRNA
UACUGAGCAAGCAGUUAUAAAAUGUCAAUAUAAACAAAUCCCAAAUCGUCCAAAAGGACAUUUUUAUAAAACCCGUCAGUUUUAUUUGAGGUGUCAGGAUAAACGCAGGCUAAUUGGAGCUGUUUUAAAAUAAAUAUUUGAUUUAUUUAUUUAUUUUAUAUCUGCCGCUGCUGUCCCACACUUCCUGUUCAGUUUUGUAACGAUGUGAUAACAACUUAUGCAAGUUCAGCGUGAGAAUCAAUUGGAGCAAAGAGCGCAGAGGUGAGCAGCUUCAGUCUUUACUGAUCCACUUUAACACAACAUCAUGUUUAAUGCGUUCAGCCUGAUUAAAAAUAAUCCGUGUCUGAGGGUGAUGACUCGACAGGUCACAGGUCAUCUCCCCUGAGCCAAGAUGUCUGCGAUGCGGCGGUCAGUGAGCGAAGCAUUCUGGGCGAUGUGUGCAGCAGACUCCAUGUCUAUGCCGGUCCACUGGUACUAUGACAUCAACGACAUCAGGAGGGACUUCGGUGGCUGGAUAUCAGGCUUCAACUCGCCUCCUGAGCGUCACCCGUCCAGUAUCCUCACCCUCUCCAACACAGCUGGCAGUGGUCGCACCAACUGGUCUUCUGGUGCGAAGCGAGCCAAUGUGGUCGGCAGCGUCAUUCUCCAUGAUAAGCUGGAGUUGUGGAACUCCUCAAGUGGAUCGAUCCACUAUCACCGAGGUCUUCAGGCAGGUGACAACACGCUGAACAUCCUCUGCUCCCUUCGAGUGGCUCGGACACUUGUCUCCAGAGGUUUUGUGGACGUCUCUCAGCCGGAUGCUCGAGCUGCUGUUCUGUCAGACUACGUCCACUUCCUGACCACACCCGGUUCACACAAGGACACCUACGCUGAAUCCUUCCACCGCUCAUUCUUUGCUGACUGGCAGGAGAGCAAACCGACCUCGCCACAUGAAGUUCUGAAGUUUGCAGAGGAACGCUCCGGGAUGAAAACGAGCUCUCCGUUCCCUGACUGCCAGCUAGAUGCCAUUGGCUGCCUUCCCAUGAUCCUUCCUUUCAUCCUUCUGUCUGCCUCAGCCAAUGAGGAGCGAGCCGUUUCAGCAGCGGUGGAGUUCGUAAAGCUCACCCAUCCUCACCCCAACGUGCCCGAGUACGUGACGAUCUACAGCCGGGCACUGCACGCGGUACUGGGCGGGGCCAGUGUCCGUGAGCAGGCUGAGCAAGCUCUGAGGAGACUGGAUGCCUGGGACGCCUGCCAGAGCUUCAGUCGCAAGGCGGCCAAGUUUUCUGUGUCCUCUGAGGAGAGACUGAAGGUCCAUCAGAGCGCUGUGAACUACCUUGGUAUGGCCUGCUACAACAAAGGUGCUCUGUCCAGCCUGUUCUACCUGGCCCACGAGUUUCAUGAUGACCCCAAAGGAGGAAUCCUGGCAAACACCAACUGUGGAGGUGAGAACUGUAACCGUGGAGCAGCGCUCGGGGCCUUGCUGGGGGCCGGAGGCGCCCACACAGGAAAUUGCAUCCUACAGGAGUGGAAGGAUGACCUAAGAGAUGCUCAGGAAUUUAUCCCUGACAUCCUGAAGGACAUUGUUUAAGAAGAUCAUUGACCCCUGGAGGAAAGAAGAGGAACAGAAAUCGCACAGCACUGUAACUUUAAAAACUCCACCGCUUCCUGUUUACAAACUUGAUGACUCCACAUUCAAACUUUUUAUUUUUAAAGAAUAAACUCUUUAUCACAUGUGUUUUAUUUUUAUGGGAAAAAAAGAGCAAACUUGAACUUGAAAUGUAGCAAUGAACUGUUUACGUUACAUAUUUAUUAUUUGCCUUGCCAUCAUUUCACCUGCAGCCUUUAAAUGAUCAAAUCAAAAAAUAUGUGCUUUUGCUCACAUGGAAAAAAUAAACUAAAUGAUUCAAUGAGUGUGAUUUUUGAUUUAAUAAAAGAAUGUAAUAUAUGUACUGGCUUGUAUAAUAACUCUAUGGACCUUUUUAAAAUUUUAUCCUCAGUAAGAAAAGUAAGUAAAUAUAACUGAUAGUUAACAGUUUUAUUAAUUAAUAUCAGGCUUAGAUAUGGGUUUAUGCUUUAAAUCAAAUGUAAAAAUAAUAUCGAUGUAAGAUGUUC